ACGGGGUGCAGCAGGCGCGAAAACUUUGCAAUACACGAAAGUGUGACAGGGCUAUCCCGAGUGCCAUCCGCUGAGGAAGGCUUUUACCCAGUGUAGUAAGCUGGGAGAAUAAGGAGAGGGCAAGUCUGGUGUCAGCCGCCGCGGUAAUACCAGCUCUCCGAGUGGUGUGGAUGUUUAUUGGGCCUAAAGCAUCCGUAGCUGGCUGGGCAAGUCCCCUGUUAAAUCCACCGAUUUAAUCGUUGGUGUGCGGGGGAUACUGCUCGGCUAGGGGACGAGAGAGGCCGACGGUAUUUUCGGGGUAGGGGUGAAAUCCUAUAAUCCCGGGAAGACCACCAGUGGCGAAGGCUGUCGGCUAGAACGCGCCCAACGGUGAGGGAUGAAAGCUGGGGGAGCGAACCGGAUUAGAUACCCGGGUAGUCCCAGCUGUAAACGAUGCAGGCUAGGUGUUUGGGCGGCCACGCGCCGCUCUAGUGCCGCAGGGAAGCUGUUAAGCCUGCCGCCUGGGGAGUACGGCCGCAAGGCUGAAACUUAAAGGAAUUGGCGGGGGAGCAC
rnacentral:rRNA from 1 species